UACGAAGGGGGCUAGCGUUGUUCGGAAUUACUGGGCGUAAAGGGCGCGUAGGCGGUGUGUCAAGUCAGGCGUGAAAGCCCCGGGCUCAACCUGGGAACCGCGCUUGAGACUGGCACGCUAGAGUUCGGGAGAGGAUGGUGGAAUUCCCAGUGUAGAGGUGAAAUUCGUAGAUAUUGGGAAGAACACCGAUGGCGAAGGCAGCCAUCUGGACCGACACUGACGCUGAGGC
rnacentral:rRNA from 1 species